ensembl:lncRNA
AUGGAUUCACUUUUGCAGAUUUUGUUAAUGAAGGUGGGUUUUUUUUUGUUGUUAUUUGUUUUUACUUCAUUUGUUGUUUCUUUUUCAUACAUAAAAUGCUGUCUAUGUUUAGUCCACUAUAGGUUUGGCUUACCACCUGAGACAAAUCUACACAUUUAUGACGACACUGAAACUGAGAUAGACGAGGACAUUUUACAAGAUGUGCUCAUUGCGAGACCUGAUACAUCGCUUAUUAUUGUUAGAAGAGAGAAUGAAGAAAUGUUUUCAGAUGCAACAAGCAGCUCUUGGACCGACAUUUUGUCACUUAGUCAUUCAUCAUAUGAACUUGACCAAAUGCCAGAACACCCUUACAAGAAAUCUAAGACAAAUGAUGCAGCAGCUGAGGCAAAAGAGAUGGUUCGUAGUGCCCUAAAGCAGACAAGUGGAGGAGAUGCUGUCCUUGCUGAAUACAGUUCCAAAAAUACACUUUCAAGUGAAAUGAGACGAGUCCUAGUCAACAUUUUGGUUGGACAUAUGGUGGAAAUGCAUGGGUAA